rnacentral:rRNA from 1 species
AGUGAACGCUGGCGGCGUGCCUAAUACAUGCAAGUCGAACGAAGUGGCGCACGGGUGAGUAAUAUAUAGUUAAUCUGCCCUACACAGAAGAACAACAGUUGGAACCGACUGCUAAUACCUCAUAGUGUAGAAUGAGACUAUAUCGUAUCAGCUACUUGGUAAGGUAAUGGCUUACCAAGGCUAUGACGCGUAACGGGUCUGCGAGGGUUAUCAGUCACAUUGGAACUGGGACACGGUCCAAACUCCUACGGGAGGCAGCAGUAAGGAAUAAUGCGAAAUGGGGGAAACCCUGACGGAGCAACGCCGCGUGGAGGAUGACACGUUUCGGAGCGUAAACUCCUUUUAUCAGGAAAGCGGUACCUGAUGAAUAAGCACCGGCUAACUCCGUGCCAGCAGCCGCGGUAAUAC